rnacentral:rRNA from 1 species
UACGUAGGGUGCGAGCGUUAAUCGGAAUUACUGGGCGUAAAGCGUGCGCAGGCGGUUCUGUAAGUCAGAUGUGAAAUCCCCGGGCUUAACCUGGGAACUGCGUUUGAAACUACGGAGCUAGAGUACGGCAGAGGGGGGUGGAAUUCCACGUGUAGCAGUGAAAUGCGUAGAUAUGUGGAGGAACACCGAUGGCGAAGGCAGCCCUCUGGGCCGAUACUGACGCUCAGGCACGAAAGCGUGGGGAGCAAACAGG